rnacentral:rRNA from 1 species
UACAGAGGGUGCAAGCGUUAAUCGGAUUUACUGGGCGUAAAGCGUGCGUAGGUGGCUUCUUAAGUCGGAUGUGAAAGCCCUGGGCUCAACCUGGGAACUGCAUUCGAUACUGGGUAGCUAGAGUUCGGUAGAGGGCGGCGGAAUUCCGGGUGUAGCGGUGAAAUGCGUAGAUAUCCGGAGGAACACCGAUGGCGAAGGCAACCGCCUGGGCCUGAACUGACACUGAGGCACGAAAGCGUGGGGAG